CGACGGCGCGAGCGAGCGCCGUCUCCCUGGUGCGCAUGCUCCCCCCUCCCCGCUGCGGGCUAGCUUUUUUUUUUUUUUUUUUCCCGGGCGGCCCCGGCGGCUGCGUACUGGCCGUGGGAUGGGAAGUGAAGCCCCAGUAAGCGGCUGCGGCGGGGCUGUGAGGAGCAGUCGGGGGGAGGCGGCGGCGGCAGCCAGUCGGUGAGCAGCUGGGAAGAGCAGAGCCGGGGCGGAGCACCUGCAGGCACGGGCGGUGGCCCCACCAUGGCGAUUCGGAAGAAAAGCAGCAAGAGCCCUCCGGUUCUGAGCCACGAAUUCAUCCUGCAGAAUCACGCGGACAUCGUCUCCUGUGUGGCGAUGGUCUUCCUGCUGGGGCUCAUGUUCGAGAUAACAGCAAAAGCUUCUAUUAUUUUUGUUACUCUUCAGUACAAUGUUACUCACCCUGCAACAGAAGAACAAGCUGCUGAAUCAGCGUCUCUUUAUCACUAUGGUGUCAAAGAUUUGGCUACAGUUUUCUUCUACAUGCUAGUGGCAAUAAUCAUUCACGCCGUAAUUCAAGAGUAUGUAUUGGACAAAAUUAACAGGCGAAUGCACUUCUCCAAAACAAAACACAGCAAGUUUAAUGAAUCUGGUCAGCUUAGUGCAUUCUACCUUUUUGCCUGUGUUUGGGGAACAUUCAUUCUAAUCUCUGAAAACUACAUCUCAGACCCAACUAUCUUGUGGAGGGCUUAUCCCCAUAACCUGAUGACAUUUCAAAUGAAGUUUUUCUACAUAUCACAGUUGGCUUACUGGCUUCAUGCUUUUCCUGAACUCUACUUCCAGAAAACCAAAAAAGAAGAUAUUCCUCGUCAGCUUGUCUACAUUGGUCUUUACCUCUUUCACAUUGCUGGAGCUUACCUUUUAAACUUGAAUCAUCUAGGACUUGUUCUUCUGGUGCUGCAUUAUUUUGUUGAAUUUCUUUUCCAUAUUUCCCGCCUGUUUUAUUUUAGUGAUGAAAAGUAUCAGAAAGGAUUUUCUCUGUGGGCAGUUCUUUUUGUUUUGGGAAGACUUCUGACUUUAAUUCUUUCAGUCCUCACUGUUGGUUUUGGCCUUGCGAGAGCAGAGAAUCAGAAGCUGGAUUUCAGUACUGGAAACUUCAAUGUGUUGGCUGUUAGAAUCGCUGUUCUGGCAUCAAUUUGCAUUACCCAAGCGUUCAUGAUGUGGAAGUUCAUUAAUUUUCAGCUUCGUAGAUGGAGGGAACAUUCUACUUUCCAGGCACCAGCUAUAAAGAAGAAACCAAUAGUGACCAAAAGCAGGUCUUCUAGGAAAGGAACAGUAUACAAGGAUCAUGUCGUCUAUAAAUAAAGAUAGUUUUUACUUCUUCCUGUCCAAUCUGGAUGCUUUCUAUUGCAUUUUCUUGCCAAAUUGCCCUGGCUAGAACCUCCACAACAAUGUUGAAUAGAAAUGGCGAGAGCAGACAUCCUUGUCUUGUUCCUGAUCUUAGGGGAAAAUGGUGUAAAUGGAACAGUAACAUCAAAUGGAGCAGACUCUCCGCGUAAUAGAAAAGAGAAAUCUUCAUAGUGGAUUAUAAACUGAUUAAUGUCCCCAAAGAAAUCUGCUUUUUACUGUGUCUUUCGGCAUUAGAGAUUUUUCCGUUCUUGAAAAUACAGUUUGUGCUCUUUGAUUCUUCCUAUUGUACUGUUUCAUAAAUUUUUUUAAAAGGGCAUUUGAGGGGAGGAUGAUUACUAUGACUGAAAAAAUAUUUUAGCUUAGACUGAGCUACUUGCCUUCAAAAUAGUUUAGGGACCACCACCAUCGUUUAUUUUCUUUUUUAUCUUUGAACAUUUUUGUAAUGAUUUGAAGAAGAAACUAUUUACAGAAAUCCCAUAUAUCAGUGAUACAGUUUCUUGCUUGCAUCAGUUUUUUAUAAUGUUAGCAAGGUAGCCUGUUCCAACAAGGUCAUAUUUUUUUAAGUUAUCUUUCAGGGUAAAAUGGAAAUAAUAUAAAGUUGGAUGUCAAACUUUACUAUCUUUUCAGUGUUCUCUAAUUUUUAGGAAUUUUUGUAGCCUUUACACCUGGAAAAAAAGAUUUGUAAGAUUACGAAAAUAAUUGUGUGCUUUAUUUUAUAAGUAGCAGUUGUUAGUGUUAUAUCCCAUUUAAAAGAGAAAAUACUAAUGGUUACAACAGGGAGAUUUAUUGACAUAUAUAUUGAGGAAAUAUCUAAUUAACAUAAAAGUACACGUGAAAUAAAAAUCUUUCUUGUGCAUUUUCAACACUUGUAAACUGGAAAUUAGAAAAUAUUUACUACGAAGAGGAAAAUCUCACAUACCCCUUUUGAUAUGUUUAUUAAUAAUGAUUCUUAAUGGGGCUUGUCAUAAGUUUGAUAUGCACAGCAUCUUAGAAAAAUAUUGCUUAACCUGGAAACCCUUUUAAAAAAUAAUGCCUACUUGAUUUAUAACAAGAAUGUCAGGUAAUUAUAUAUUUGGAAAAUAUUUAAUGCACUAACUUUAAAAAAAUUGAAAAUUCAGGUGGAUAAAUAGUCUUACAAAAGACAGUGUGCUUUAUGUUAUAACUAUAGCUUUGGUCCCAUCUUUAAUUGAGAAACAUUUAUCUGUACAAAACAUAUUUUUGGAUAAAUAUAUAUAUAUAUUUGUAUCUUUACAGAAAGGCUCUAAAAAGCAUUUGAGUAAAAUAUUUGGUUCCCUUUUCUAUAAUUAGCCUUUAAAAUCCUUAUAGCUACAUUUGGUUGUUCCCUGUCUUUACAGUCUAUAUUGCUUCUUGUUGGUGUUCACAUCUUGUUCCCCAUUUCUCAGUUCUGUCAUCAGCUAAUGGUUGUGCCAUUUUUAGUGUUAAAGUUGUAGACCUGUCAGGUCUGCAGUUUUAGUUUCCAUGCUGCUAGAAAGUUGUGCUUUUUAUUUCCAGCUGUUUCCCUACUUCCUGAAAAAAAGUAGUAGUUCUCCGUAGCAUUAUGAAGUUUUCAGUGGAACCAAAUUUUUGCCAUUAAAAACUGGCAUCUUGAACUAUAUAUUGAGAAAUCAAUCAAAAUAAAAAUUUUUACUUUAACAA